CCUCUGUCUGUGGCCGGCGUAGCCCGUGGACGGCUCUGCGCCCGACCAGUCGGGGCAGGUGCUGACAGACCACCGGGAAGAAGAGGGGCCGAAUCCCUGUCCCUGGCUUCCUGGGUGAGUGACGGUCCCCCCUAACCCGGGGUGGCGACCACGGAACUACACGGUCGCUGGACCGCCUGAGAGGCUCUAACACACCUUCAGAACGAGGCCUCAAGAUUUUGACCCUGUUGUUAAAUAUUGUAGAGAGCCCUUCAUUUGGAAAAUAUUGCAGAACACACAUCCAACCAAGGACUUGCAUCCAGAAGCUAUAACAACCCCUCAAAACUCAAAAUAAGAAAACUAAAACCUAAUAUAAAGAAUGAGCAAAAGAGUUAAACAGAUACUUCACCAAAGAGGAUAUACAGAAGGCAAAAAAAUCACAUGAAAAGAUGCUCAACAUCACUAGCCCAAGGAAAAAGCAAAUUAAAACCAGUAUAAUAUACUACUUCACAUGCACUGGAAUGGCUAAAAUAAAAAAUACUGUCAAUACCAAGUGUAGAUGAUGAUACAGAGCAACUGGAUCUCUCAUACUUUGUUGGUGGGAAUGCAAAAUGGUACAGCCGCUCCAGAAAACAGUUUGCCAGUUUCAUAUAAGUUAAAAUACACUCCGGGGGCCGGCCCCAUGGCCGAGUGGUUAAGUUCACGCGCUCCGUUGCGGGGGCCCAGGGUUUUGCCAGUUUGGAUCCUGGGCACGGACAUGGCACUGCUUGUCAGGCCAUGUUGAGGUGGCGUCCCACAUGCCACAACUAGAAGGACCUACAACUAAGAUAUACAACUAUGUACCAGGGGGGAUUGGGGAAGAUAAAGCAGGAAAAAAAAAAAAAAAAAAAAGACUAGCAACAGUUGUUAGCUCAGGUGCCAAUCUUUAAAAAAAAAAAAAAAACACUCUGCAUAUGACCCAGCCAUCACACUCCUGAGUAUUUAUAUAAAGAAAUGAAAACUUUCGUUCACACAAAAUCUUAUAUGUGAAUGUUUAUAGCAGCUCUUUUCGUAAUUGCCCCACACUGGCAGCAAUCUACAUGUGCUUAAACGUCCACGUGAUGGAAUACUACUUAGCAAGACAAAAGGACAAACUGUCCACUCAAUAACUUAGAUGACUCUGAAAGCCAUUAUGCUGAAUGAAAGAAGCUACUCUCUGAAGGCUACAUCCUGUAUGAUUCAUUUAAAUAGCAUUCUUGAAAAGUCUACACUGGACGGAGGGACAAGAGAUCAGUGGUUGCCAGGGGUCGGGGUGGAGGUAGGCAUGACCAGAAAGGAGUAGCGAGAGGGAGCUGUUUUGGGUGAUGGGUCUCUCCUAUAUCCUGAUUACACAAAUCUAUGCAUGGAUUAAAACUCAUAGUACUAUACGUAAAAAGUCAAUUUUAUAGUAUAAUAAUAUAAAAAAUAGAAUUUUAAAAAAGUUCUCCUCCAUUCCACAAAUGUUUU
rnacentral:lncRNA from 1 species